rnacentral:rRNA from 1 species
GACAGAGGCCCCAAGCGUUAGGCGGAAUUACUGGGCGUAAAGCGUGCGCAGGCGGCUUUGCAAGACAGAUGUGAAAUCCCCGGGCUCAACCUGGGAACUGCAUUUGUGACUGCAUCGCUCGAGUGUGGCAGAGGGGGAUGGAAUUCCGCGUGUAGCAGUGAAAUGCGUAGAUAUGCGGAGGAACACCGAUGGCGAAGGCAAUCCCCUGGACCUGUACUGACGCUCAUGCACGAAAGCGUGGGGAGCAAACAGG